rnacentral:misc_RNA from 1 species
AUAAGAAUCAUAGCAACAUGAUGAUGAGUAGGCAAUAAAUCUCUUAGAUAAACAAGAUUAGGCUGUAUAAUAGUAUCUAAACCUCUUGUCAAAAAAUUGCUUCUUCUCAUAAAUGUAGCAAGUUGAGGUACAGACAAGCCAAGUCCUUGUAAAACCUUGAUCUUGGGUUUGAGAUUUUCAUCAACACGACAAAACAACAAUUGAGGAGAAGAAGAAACAAGAGUUUUGAUCUGUGAUUUGUUCAUACCCAUUUCAUCAAGGAGAUCAAAUAACAAAUGCGGGUCAUAG